CCCCCUCUCUAUUUAUAACUCCUGGAACCGUUAUCUUUAACACCUGACUCUUUCUGCUUUUUGUGUGACAGUCGGGAACUUCGUUCAAAGGGUCGAACGUCAAUACUACCGCCGUAAAGGACGGACAGGCCGGGACAGCGAUAGCAUUUGUCAAUGCUAACAUUGGAAGCCUUUCAAUUAACACUGCUCAACAAGGAUCAGUCGUAUCUGGACCCUCCAGACAAGUGCCAGAGAAUCCAGAAAGAAAUGAAUAUAGGAAUGCAGUCCAAGUCACUUUAAGAGGGGACACCCUGAGCACAAUCACAAUUCCGGAGACGAUCCCAGUACACAACGGCAAGGUGUCGAUACGUGGAAACUACGAUGACCAGAAUAUCAAGACGAAAGGUA